UUGUUAAUAGCUAAACAUUGAAUUUCUUGCCUAAGGACUCUGGAAAUCUCCUUUAACUGUGCUGAGGAACACGACCAGAAGAGAUCAGAAGGAGAAUGAUGUACCGCACAGCACGUAAGGACAGUAAACUCCACGGUGAGGCUUCUCCUGUCUCUCUCCAGAACUAUGCCUCUUCUUGUGUGGAUACAUUGCUGGGCAUGCCAGAGUCCCCUCAGUCAUCGUCUGAGCACCUUCAAUUGGAUUUUUCAGCACAUUUCACUCUUUACACAAGAAUGACAAGAUUCUGGCAAGCAGCUAAGAGUUAGGUAAAAAUUUUGGCAUCAAGCAGAAUUCAAGUAAUCUUUCACUCAAGACAAGAGGAAUACAGGAAGAAUGCUACCAUGUCCUGGAAAGUAUGCUAUUCAUCUCCUUUCUUAAUCACUGGAUUAUUUUUCUGCUACUUCCAUUUUGCAAGCACA
rnacentral:lncRNA from 1 species